UCUUAUCAAGAGAGGCGGAGGGAAAGGCCCGAUGAAGCCCAGCAACCGAUUUGCAUAGAACUGCAGCGUGGAUAGCUGCAGCUUGUGGCAAAUGUCAUGGUGCUAAUUCCUUCAAGAUCGCAUGGCGUAAAGAA
rnacentral:ncRNA from 1 species